AGUGACAGUGAUAACCUUGGAGGCAAAAAAAAAAAACUCUCAAGGUCCAGUUGUAGGAGAAUGUAGGGUAGUCAAGUUUGCAAGAUUGCAGACACAUCCAAAUGAGGCGCUGCAUGUGGUAGUCAGCCUUUCUUU
rnacentral:snRNA from 1 species